rnacentral:rRNA from 1 species
UACGUAGGGUGCAAGCGUUGUCCGGAAUUAUUGGGCGUAAAGAGCUCGUAGGCGGUUUGUCGCGUCUGCUGUGAAAAACUGGAGGCUCAACCUCCAGCCUGCAGUGGGUACGGGCAGACUAGAGUGGCGGUAGGGGAGGAUUGGAAUUCCUGGUGUAGCGGUGGAAUGCGCAGAUAUCAGGAGGAACACCGAUGGCGAAGGCAGAUCUCUGGGCCGUAACUGACGCUGAGGAGCGAAAGCGUGGGGAGCGAACAGG